UUCCACAGCUACUGGUCUGCAGCUGUUCCUAUGGUGGCGGUUGUGGCAUUCCUCUGUGGGAAAGAAAUUGUUACACAGUUUAGCACCUCUUUCUGAGCAAAACAGAAAGUGGGCAUAUGUGUGACAAACACAA